UACGAGGGGAGCAAGCGUUGUUCGGAUUUACUGGGCGUAAAGGGCGCGUAGGCGGUCGUGACAAGUCACUUGUGAAAUCUCCGGGCUUAACUCGGAACGGUCAAGUGAUACUGUCGGACUAGAGUACAGAAGGGGCAACUGGAAUUCUCGGUGUAGCGGUGAAAUGCGUAGAUAUCGAGAGGAACACCUGCGGCGAAGGCGGGUUGCUGGGCUGAUACUGACGCUGAUGCGUGAAAGCCAGGGGAGCGAACGGG
rnacentral:rRNA from 1 species